GGAGGCUGAGAUGGGUGAUCGCUUGAAGUCCAGGAGUUCGAGACCAGCCUGGGCAACACAGGGAGAACCCCCGCUCCCAUCUCUACAAAAAAUACAAAAAUUAGCCGGUUGUCAUUCCAGCUACUCAGAAGGCUGAGGUGGGAGGAUGGCUUGAACCUGGGAGGCAGAUGUUGCAGUAAGCCUAGAUCACGACACCGGUACUCCAGCCUGAGUACACGGCAUAUCCAAAACCACGUCAUCAAUCAGCACAUCUAGCCGUGCACAAUUUUGAUCACACAUCAUCAAUCAAAUGUCUUGAUUUGAUUUUCACUGUAAAUUAGCACAAUUUUUCUGCAGCCCCCAUCAACUCAAAACCAUCACAUAAUCUGUGCAAACGACAGGGCCAUGUGGGAUAAGUAAAAAACCAGGAUUCAAGAGAUGGACAUUUUAUUUUUCCCUUUUGAAAAAUUUUUAUUUCUAAGUUUCAGGGUACAUGUGCAGGAUGUGCAGGUUUGUUACAUAGGUAAAUGUGUGCCAUGGUGGUUUGCUGCACCUACCAACCCAUCGCCUAGAUAUCAAGCCUAGCAUGUAUUAGCUGUUUUUCCUAAUGCUCUCCCUCCCCUCACCCCGCCCCGUGACAGGCCCCAGUGUGUGUUGUUCUCCUCCCUGUGUCCAC
rnacentral:lncRNA from 1 species